CAAGGCUUGACAUAUACGAGAACGGGCCAGAAAUGGUCAACUCUUUGGACACUCGUAAACAGGUGGUGCAUGGUUGUCGUCAGCUCGUGUCGUGAGAUGUUGGGUUAAGUCCCGCAACGAGCGCAACCCUCGUUCUAUGUUGCCAGCACGUAAUGGUGGGAACUCAUGGGAUACUGCCGGGGUCAACUCGGAGGAAGGUGGGGAUGACGUCAAAUCAUCAUGCCCCUUAUGUCUUGGGCUUCACGCAUGCUACAAUGGCCGGCACAAAGGGCUGCAAUACCGCGAGGUGGAGCGAAUCCCAAAAAGCCGGUCCCAGUUCGGAUUGAGGUCUGCAACUCGACCUCAUGAAGUCGGAGUCGCUAGUAAUCGCAGAUCAUCAACGCUGCGGUGAAUACGUUCCC
rnacentral:rRNA from 1 species